rnacentral:rRNA from 1 species
UACGGAGGGUGCGAGCGUUGUUCGGAAUCACUGGGCGUAAAGCGCGUGUAGGCGGCCUGCUAAGUCUGAUGUGAAAGCCCGAGGCUCACCCUCGGAAGCGCAUUGGAAACUGGCAGACUGGAGUCCCGGAGAGGAGGGUGGAAUUCCUGGUGUAGCGGUGAAAUGCGUAGAUAUCGUGAGGAACACCGGUGGCGAAGGCGGCCCUCUGGACGGUGACUGACGCUGAGACGCGAAAGCGUGGGGAGCAAACAGG